rnacentral:rRNA from 1 species
UGAGUUUGAUUAUGGCUCAGAACGAACGCUGGCGGCAGGCCUAACACAUGCAAGUCGAGCGCACCUUCGGGUGAGCGGCGGACGGGUUAGUAACGCGUGGGAACGUGCCCUUCUCUGCGGAAUAGCCUCUGGAAACGGAGAGUAAUACCGCAUACGCCCUUCGGGGGAAAGAUUUAUCGGAGAAGGAUCGGCCCGCGUUAGAUUAGGUAGUUGGUGGGGUAACGGCCUACCAAGCCUACGAUCUAUAGCUGGUUUGAGAGGAUGAUCAGCAACACUGGGACUGAGACACGGCCCAGACUCCUACGGGAGGCAGCAGUGGGGAAUCUUCGGCAAUGGGCGCAAGCCUGACCGAGCCAUGCCGCGUGAGCGAUGAAGGCCUUAGGGUUGUAGAGCUCUUUCGCCAGGGAUGAUAAUGACAGUACCUGGUAAAGAAACCCCGGCUAACUCCGUGCCAGCAGCCGCGGUAAUACGGAGGGGGUUAGCGUUGUUCGGAAUUACUGGGCGUAAAGCGCGCGUAGGCGGAUUGGAAAGUUAGAGGUGAAAUCCCAGGGCUCAACCCUGGAACUNNNUUUAAAACUCCCAGUCUUGAGUUCGAGAGAGGUGAGUGGAAUUCCGAGUGUAGAGGUGAAAUUCGUAGAUAUUCGGAGGAACACCAGU